rnacentral:ncRNA from 2 species
AACCCAUCCAGAGCGACCGAGAGACCUGGCUCGUUGACGUCGCAGCAACCACCCGAACCGCGGGACGGUGCUACCGCCAGGACCGAUGGAGC